rnacentral:tRNA from 1 species
GGGCUGGGGCUCAGUGGUAGAGUGCUUACCUGGCAUGUGUGAGGCACUGAGUUCGAUUCUCAGCACCACA